GGGAGGGGGAUCUGGCUGCAACAUCUGUCACUCUACUUGUCACCAAGGUUGACUCAGCUAAUUUGGCUGGCUAGGUCGGUGUCUCCUUUCCACCUUACCACUCCAUGUGUACCUCACCCAAAGCAUCAUGCUUCCUUGAAGAGGACAAGCUUCCCCUAACAGAACCUCCAAGCAAGCUCUCAAGCUUGCAUUUUCUGAUUUUUCAUUUCUAAAUGUUCAAUUCAAUAUAUUAUCAAUCCCUGAGUCUCCAAUGACAAUGUUUAUGUGUUU
rnacentral:sRNA from 1 species